AUUGAACGCUGGCGGCAGGCCUAACACAUGCAAGUCGAGCGGAUGAGAGGAGCUUGCUCCUCGAUUCAGCGGCGGACGGGUGAGUAAUGCCUAGGAAUCUGCCCAGUAGUGGGGGACAACGUUUCGAAAGGAACGCUAAUACCGCAUACGUCCUACGGGAGAAAGUGGGGGAUCUUCGGACCUCACGCUAUUGGAUGAGCCUAGGUCGGAUUAGCUAGUUGGUAGGGUAAAGGCCUACCAAGGCGACGAUCCGUAACUGGUCUGAGAGGAUGAUCAGGCACACUGGAACGGAGACACGGUCCAGACUCCGACGGGAGGCAGCAGUGGGGAAUAUUGGACAAUGGGCGCAAGCCUGAUCCAGCCAUGCCGCGUGUGUGAAGAAGGCCCUCGGGUCGUAAAGCACUUUAAGUUGGGAGGAAGGGCUUACAGCGAAUACCUGUGAGUUUUGACGUUACCGACAGAAUAAGCACCGGCUAACUUCGUGCCAGCCGCCGCGGUAA
rnacentral:rRNA from 1 species